GACGUAGGGCGCGAGCGUUGUCCGGAUUUAUUGGGCGUAAAGAGCUCGUAGGCGGCUUGUCGCGUCGACUGUGAAAACCCGCGGCUCAACCCCGAGCCUGCAGUCGAUACGGGCAGACUUGAGUGCGGUAGGGGAGACUGGAAUUCCUGGUGUAGAGGUGAAAUUCGUAGAUAUCAGGAGGAACACCGGUGGCGAAAGCGGCUUCCUGGCCCGACAUUGACGCUCAUGUACGAGAGCGUGGGGAGCAAACAGG
rnacentral:rRNA from 1 species